AUUGAACGCUGGCGGCAGGCCUAACACAUGCAAGUCGAGCGGCAGCGGGAAGUAGCUUGCUACUUUGCCGGCGAGCGGCGGACGGGUGAGUAAUGUCUGGGAAACUGCCCGAUGGAGGGGGAUAACUACUGGAAACGGUAGCUAAUACCGCAUAACGUCGCAAGACCAAAGAGGGGGACCUUCGGGCCUCUUGCCAUCGGAUGUGUCCAGAGGGGAUUAGCUAGUAGGUGGGGUAACGGCUCACCUAGGCGACGAUCCCUAGCUGGUCUGAGAGGAUGACCAGCCACACUGGAACUGAGACACGGUCCAGACUCCUACGGGAGGCAGCAGUGGGGAAUAUUGCACAAUGGGCGCAAGCCUGAUGCAGCCAUGCCGCGUGUAUGAAGAAGGCCUUCGGGUUGUAAAGUACUUUCAGCGGGGAGGAAGGUGUUGAGGUUAAUAACCUCAGCAAUUGACGUUACCCGCAGAAGAAGCACCGGCUAACUCCGUGCCAGCCGCCGCCGUAA
rnacentral:rRNA from 1 species